ACGCACUGCAAGUGCUGUGUUGCCCUGUCACUCAUCCUAUUAGGGCCCAGUUUCAGCCCAGUAGGGCUGACGAGCUGGCCCGGGAUUGGCUGGCCCAGGCGGGGAGGGAUUUGUUGGAAGGAAGGGCUGCAGCUUACAGCAACAGAGUUUAGACUGUCUUUGCUUCAUCAUCUGAAGGCAAAAAUUUUCCAGAUCCGGCAGACGGCUCCCCGAGUACAAUAAGCAGGGCAGGAGAAAUAUUUUACAUGGAAAUUUCACCCUCAUGAUGCAGCCGAGACUGGAUUCUGCCACUUGUUCUUGGGGUUACUGUAAGUGGGCAGGAAGACUGAGCUAAACAAGGUUCAUGAUUUAAAAGUGCCUGUGUGAAGUCAUUUGUGCUGGAAACUGCAGCCGGGAAGCUGUUGGUGUGUUAAAAAAAAAAAAAAGAAGAAGAAGAA